rnacentral:rRNA from 1 species
GACGAACGCUGGCGGCGUGCUUAACACAUGCAAGUCGAACGGAAAGGCCCUGCUUUUGUGGGGUGCUCGAGUGGCGAACGGGUGAGUAACACGUGAGUAACCUGCCCUUGACUUUGGGAUAACUUCAGGAAACUGGGGCUAAUACCGGAUAGGAGCUCCUGCCGCAUGGUGGGGGUGGGAAAGUUUCGGCGGUUGGGGAUGGACUCGCGGCUUAUCAGCUUGUUGGUGGGGUAGUGGCUUACCAAGGCUUUGACGGGUAGCCGGCCUGAGAGGGUGACCGGCCACAUUGGGACUGAGAUACGGCCCAGACUCCUACGGGAGGCAGCAGUGGGGAAUAUUGCACAAUGGGCGGAAGCCUGAUGCAGCAACGCCGCGUGCGGGAUGACGGCCUUCGGGUUGUAAACCGCUUUCGCCUGUGACGAAGCGUGAGUGACGGUAAUGGGUAAAGAAGCACCGGCUAACUACGUG